AUGGACGCGAUGUGGCACAACACCGGCAAUACCUUGCCGGUGAUGGUUAACGGCCAGCAGACGGGCAGCAAAAAGGUUCUGGUGCUGCACACCAACAAGAACUUUGACCAGCAGAGGACCAACUGGGUGAUGCACCAGUACCACCUCGGGGACCUGGAGCAAGAGAAGGAGCGGGAGCUGGUCCUCUGCAAGAUUUUCUACCAGACGAAAACUAGGGCCAGGAGUAAAAAGAUUAUAAGUCGAGCAAGUUUCAACUGGGCUGUAGACUGCCCAUGA
rnacentral:rRNA from 1 species